UAGGGAAUCUUCGGCAAUGGGGGGAACCCUGACCGAGCAAUGCCGCGUGAGUGAAGAAGGUUUUCGGAUCGUAAAGCUCUGUUGUUAAGGAAGAACGAGUGUGAGAAUGGAAAGUUCAUACUGUGACGGUACUUAACCAGAAAGGGACGGCUAACUACGUGCCAGCAGCCGCGGUAAUACGUAGGUCCCGAGCGUUGUCCGGAUUUAUUGGGCGUAAAGCGAGCGCAGGCGGUUAGAUAAGUCUGAAGUUAAAGGCAGUGGCUCAACCAUUGUAGGCUUUGGAAACUGUUUAACUUGAGUGCAGAAGGGGAGAGUGGAAUUCCAGGUGUAACGGUGAAAUGCGUAGAUAUAUGGAGGAACACCGGUGGCGAAAGCGGCUCUCUGGUCUGUAACUGACGCUGAGGCUCGAAAGCGUGGGGAGCGAACAGG
rnacentral:rRNA from 1 species